rnacentral:lncRNA from 1 species
AUCUACUCGGGGUGGAUAGCUACUGUAUGUGUUAGAAAAUGGGUAGGUCGAGGUAACGAAGGAAGCUCACAUGACAGACAGACCAUACAACAGACUGAGUGCAAAUAGCUCAGCUCCACAUACUUCAGCUCGAUGCUUGGGUCGGCAAUCAUGAUGAUAGCUCGCUGGCUUGAGAUAUUUUAUGAUAACAUGCCGAUCUGAGAUAUUCACGAUACCACUGUAUCACUAUCUUCCUACUCUUGAGUCUAAGAAUUAGAUAAAAAGAGUACCUCUAAAAUUAUACC